rnacentral:rRNA from 1 species
GACGAACGCUGGCGGCGUGCCUAAUACAUGCAAGUAGAACGCACAGUUUAUACCGUAGCUUGCUACACCAUAGACUGUGAGUUGCGAACGGGUGAGUAACGCGUAGGUAACCUGCCUGGUAGCGGGGGAUAACUAUUGGAAGCGAUAGCUAAUACCGCAUAAUAUUAAUUAUUGCAUGAUAAUUAAUUGAAAGGUGCAAUUGCACCACUACCAGAUGGACCUGCGUUGUAUUAGCUAGUAGGUGAGGUAACGGCUCACCUAGGCGACGAUACAUAGCCGACCUGAGAGGGUGAUCGGCCACACUGGGACUGAGACACGGCCCAGACUCCUACGGGAGGCAGCAGUAGGGAAUCUUCGGCAAUGGACGAAAGUCUGACCGAGCAACGCCGCGUGAGUGAAGAAGGUUUUCGGAUCGUAAAGCUCUGUUGUAAGAGAAGAACGGGUGUGAGAGUGGAAAGUUCACACUGUGACGGUAUCUUACCAGAAAGGGACGGCUAACUACGUG